CGGCGGACGGGUGAGUAACGCGUGGGCAACCUGCCUUACACAGGGGGAUAACAGUUAGAAAUGACUGCUAAUACCGCAUAAGACCACAGUACUGCAUGGUACAGUGGUAAAAACUCCGGUGGUGUAAGAUGGGCCCGCGUCUGAUUAGGUAGUUGGCGGGGUAACGGCCCACCAAGCCGACGAUCAGUAGCCGACCUGAGAGGGUGACCGGCCACAUUGGGACUGAGACACGGCCCAGACUCCUACGGGAGGCAGCAG
rnacentral:rRNA from 1 species